CUCAGAUCCGUAAAACGUACUCCGCUGCUUGGCGGGAUCUUAUUAGUCUAUGUGAAAUCAAAGCCGGUGAUGCAUACUGGCCAAUCAUGGAACGGAGUUUUAAUGAUGCUCCACUUACUUCUGAUACUGACUUUCGUUCUGGUGAAGUCUUUUGUGAACAGCUUCGAGCUUGGGCACAGGAUAAACUAGCAGAUCAGGCUACCUGCAUUAAUGACAUUAUACAGGACAAACUUGAGACAGUUGAGAAGUAUCACUCUAGGUUGACUCAGACUUUUUCAGACUUAGGGUUUAGUACUUACAACAAAGCACACACCCAGAUGCUAUCUGCAGCCUUUGUGGCAGGGCUUAGAGAACACAUCCGUAAGGGGUUAAUCUUAGCUCGGCCUGAGUAUAGAAUUAUUCCACUGGAUACUCUUUUGCUAGUUGCCAAGGGCUUAGAAUCUGUUUUGCUACCUACACUACGUAGACCCAGUCCUCUGAUGUAUGCUACCUCCACCCCAUUCGCUGGUCCAAGCCAGGGUCCUCAGAUGUUUCCCCAACAGUACACCCAGCCCCCCCCGACACUGCCUGCACCAAUCCCUUUCUCCCGUGAUCGGUCUGUCACGACAAUCCGGACCUGCUUUAAUUGUAAUCAGCCAGGUCACUUUAGAAGAGAUUGCCCACACCCUAGAGUGUUCCGCCAGCAGACUCCCCGGUACCAAAAUCCAC